CAAAAAUUCAAGAAGCUGUAUUAAGGUUGGCUUUUUUUUUUUUGUGUUGUAAAUAUCUGAAUUUGGGGAAAAAAAUUCUUCAAUAAACAGAAAAUGCAGGUGGUGAGGAUGAGGAAACAUGCAGGUUUCAAAUGAGUGAACAUCUGGUAAAUUGAGUUACACAGAUCUCCAAAUGAGUAAAGAACUGACACUCAGGUCUCACAGUAAAAGUAGAUUCACAGCAUAUUGGUGUAGAAGAGGGUGUGCAGGUCCCUAUUUGCAGGUGUAUGAUGGACUCCUUUCUCCAAGAAACUACUAGAAGUCUUGAUAUUUAAGCAGGACUUGGUCCACUCCUGUAGUCUAGAGUACCAAAUGGGUCCUGCGGGUUUGGCAUGUGUACUGAUUCAGUGGCCAAUCCCUCCCACUUAUGUCUUGUCGGUUUCAGCCAUUAGGAGUGAUGUCUCCUCCCCCACCAUGUCCAGAUAUGUGACUGGUACUUCCAGUGUCGGAGUAGUGCACUAUGGUAUUGGUGGAUGUGAGUGUAGUUUAUGGAUUAUUGGGAGUAAGUGGUGGAAGUCAUGUCCCCCCCCUGCCUUAUCUAAGCAAUAAGCCCUGUGGCAUCGUUAUUGCAGAUCUCCUAUGGGGGUCCCAUCACAACGCCUCCGGUUUCAGGGUAUUGGCCGUUUGGGACCAUAUAUGGUUGUGAUGCCUCAUAAAUUAAACAAUGUUCUGGGAAUACGCUGGCUGUGUGCCAGCGGGGAGAAAAAUGAGGGUGAAAAAAGGGGAGGAAGAGAUGUUUGUCUAUGUACGUGUAUGUAUGAGUGUUGGGGCAACCCAGCAUGUAAGGAUAGUGAUCGAGGUUUGGUGUUUGACAUUUCGGGUUUCUGUUGUUGGGCCAUUGUGUUGUAUACAUUGGAUGUGUUCAAGCAUGGUGGUAGGUCUCCAAUGCCCCACCCCUCAGGUAGUCCAUACCAGUAUGUUUCAGCAGUAGACCUAUCAGUUAACCUGUGUGGCAGGGGCGUUAAGGUUGCUUGUUUUAGUCUGAAAACUGACUAUUUUCAGUCUGCCAUAUUUCACUGUUUAAUGAGUAUCCCGAUUUGGUGCUCACUGAAGUGAACAUUGUCAGGAAUUUCAAAUUAAGGCCAGAAUAGCUAUGCUUCCAGUUUGGCUUUUUAAAUUUAUUUAUUUUUCCUUAAAUUUGAAAUUUUGUCUUGAAUUCUCACUUUAGUAAAUAACCCUGAUUUUAUAGAAUAAGGAAAAUCUUUAACCUUUAUUCUCAAACUCAUUUUGGAACUUUUUCAAAUCUAACCUUAACCCCUCCUGUACUUUGGUUUGAAAGUUUCCAUUUUAUCUAACCAUUCCUUGCUCUCAUGGAGGAUGGAGUUCCUACUGAUAACUAUUCAGUUAUCAGAUGUGGUUGCUGUAGUCAGAGCCAGACUGGGGAUACAAAGCAGCCCUGGAAAAAUAAAAUCUAUGCCAGCUCCAUAAGUCACUGCACCAUAUAUC